rnacentral:tRNA from 1 species
CGGUGUAUAGCUCAGUGGUACAGCAUGUGCUUAGCAUGCACAAGGUCCCGAGUUCAAUCCCCAAUACUUCCA